UGGGAACGUGCCCUUCAGUUCGGAACAACCCAGGGAAACUUGGGCUAAUACCGGAUACGUCCGUAAGGAGAAAGAUUUAUCGCUGAAGGAUCGGCCCGCGUCUGAUUAGCUAGUUGGUGAGGUAAUGGCUCACCAAGGCGACGACGGGUAGCUGGUCUGAGAGGAUGGCCAGCCACAUUGGGACUGAGACACGGCCCAGACUCCUACGGGAGGCAG
rnacentral:rRNA from 1 species